CUGACCUUGUCUUUAUAGGCCAAAACCAGCUUCACACACUCUCUCUCUCUCUGAUUUCUUUUAUUUGACAUUCUUUUUUCAAAUUUUCCCCAUUUGCAAGUAUGUCAUCUUCCUCUGUUUUGAUUUUACCCUCGCCCUCACCCUCACUCAGUUUCUUCUUUCUCAUAUUUUCGAAUUAAAAAAAUCUGAAAAAUCUUUUUUUUUUUAAAUAUUAUAUUUUAUCGGGGUGGAGAGAAAAAAUUGAUUUCUUUGUAUUGUCGAAAAUGAGGUGGGAAAAGGUUGAGGUGAAGGCGAUAGGCACAGAGGGUGGUGGAGGUGGAAAUGAAGUAUAUGGGCCAGGGAAAAGGUGGGGUCACACCUGCAACGCCGUCAAAGGUGGUAGACUUGUCUAUGUCUUCGGUGGAUACGGCAAAGAUAACUGUCAAACCAACCAAGUUCAUGUCUUUGACACUGUGAAGCAGACUUGGAGCCAACCCACCGUAAAAGGCUCCCCACCUACUCCUAGAGACAGCCACACUUGCACAGCCAUUGGUGAUAAUCUGUUUGUGUUUGGGGGUACGGAUGGGAUGAACCCUCUCAAGGAUUUGCACAUAUUGGACACUUCAUUGCAUACAUGGGUUUCUCCCACCAUAAGAGGACAAGGGCCACCGGCACGUGAGGGUCAUAGUGCAGCAGUUGUUGGAAAACGCCUAUUCAUCUUUGGUGGUUGUGGAAAAUCUGCAGAUAGUAAUAAUGAGGUCUACUACAAUGAUCUUUACAUACUAAAUACAGAGACAUUUGUGUGGAAGUGUGCUACUACAUCAGGCACUCCACCAUCUCCUCGUGAUAGCCACUCUUGUUCAUCUUGGAAAAAUAAAAUUAUUGUAGUAGGAGGUGAAGAUGGACAUGAUUAUUACUUGUCCGAUGUCCAUAUCCUUGAUACUGAUACUUUAAUCUGGAGAGAGCUGAGUACAUCAGGCCAAUUAUUGCCUCCUCGAGCUGGUCAUUCAACUGUUUCUUUUGGCAAGAACUUGUUCGUUUUUGGGGGAUUUACAGAUGCCCAAAAUCUCUAUAAUGACCUUUAUAUGCUUGAUAUUGACACUGGCGCUUGGACAAAUGUCACAUCUUCAACCAAUGGUCCGUCUGCUAGAUUUUCUGUGGCUGGUGACUGUUUAGACCCUUUUAAGGGGGGUGUUCUUGUGUUCAUAGGUGGUUGUAAUAAAAGUCUUGAGGCCCUGGAUGAUAUGUAUUACCUAUAUACAGGGAUUGCACGGGAAAGUGAACAGAGACCAGAGAAGUUAUCUUUAAGGAAGCAAUUGAAAUUGAAGUGCCAAGAACAAAAUCCCAAUCCUAGCCAAAAUCAAGUUCUAGCAAGAUAUGGUGUUGGUUCUGAUAUGGGCCAGAUCAUGUCAGUGUUGAAUUAUAGCCAGCAAAGCAGGCUAAAUAUCCCAGUAAACCAAUCCCUACCUCCUGGAAAGAAAAUGUUUGAAGCCAAGGUCACUGAAAACAUCUCAGAAGGAUAUACUAUUGAAACUGUUAUUGAUGGAAAGCCUCUUCGUGGAAUACUGUUUUUAAACAAGCCAAAUUCUCUGUACUCUUCUGCUCAUACUCCCAGUAGCAGGAAAAGGACUCUUAGUGAGAUUGAUAGUGUUGUCUUGAAUGGUAUACACUCUAACCAAUUAAAGACUCCUAAAGUACUCAAGCAAAAUCAAAUGGAAAACCAAGAAGCAUUUUAUGGAGACAGUUCAGAAUCUCAUGAACACCGCACUGAAUCCAUUGCAGUGGUAAUGUCAAGUAACCCAGUGACUGCUGAUGCUUCUGAUACCCAUAAGGUUUCUGCCAACCAAGAACCAGAAGCUGCUGCUUUGAAUCAAAAUGAUGAAAAACAUGAAACACCCAUAUCCUUAAGUGAAAACUUGAAAGAAGAUGGUGCAAAUGAUGUGAUAUGUUCCAGAGAUGAGGUGCAAACAAAUGAUCAAACAAAUGUGCCAAUUUCCAACUUUGAACUUACAAGACAUGAUACAAAAUUUGAUGCUCCAAAUUACAACACUGAAUUUCAGAAACCUGCUGCAUCUGAGAGUGUUUUGUGCCUGUCAAAUCAAGGUGCAGUGGUGGAUUCCACAACUCCAACAACAGAAUGCAGCGAAGCAGCAACAUUAAUUUGAACACAUAAGAUAAUGGCUGGUGAUAAUUUUGUCUGCUAGGGAUUUGUACAUUCCUCUUCUCAAGGACUCUUUCUUUUAUCAUAUUUUUCUGAAGUUGAAUUGAGACAUUUGUGUCUCUGAGGUGUAAUGAGCACCGUUAUUUGUUGCUAAUCUGGCGCCCUGUCCUUGUGGAUUAAGUUUACUGCACUGAAGCUGUAAGUGGCGUAGAUGAGGAUUUUCUGGGUAGAUUAAAAGUGGGAAAACAGAAAACAGAAUUCAGUGUGAAAUUGGAAAGAAAAGGAUGAAUUAUCUUGAUGCUCAGUUUUAUCAAAAUGCCAACCACACCAUUAUCCUUAAAAGAAUGUUCAUGAACAUUUAUCUACUUCCUUAAUAUUCCUCAAUUCCUCUAUUCCUAUAACGUUUUAUGUUAUUUUUCUUAAUUUUUUAUUUAUUUAUACUUUGAAGGUCUCAAGUAUAAUUGUGGUGUCCACAAGUAUUAGCUUUCUUUCCUGAAAGCUUGGGCCAUGAAUGGAAGGAUGCUUUAGUGUUUGAGUCAUAUUUUCUACCAUACAAAAUUCUAUUAGUACAUGCUUGCAACAAUUGCAAAACAUACCUUUCUUGUGCCCACAUAUUUGA